rnacentral:rRNA from 1 species
AGAUUGAACGCUGGCGGCAUGCCUAACACAUGCAAGUCGAACGGCAGCGCGGGUAGCAAUACCUGGCGGCGAGUGGCGGACGGGUGAGGAAUACAUAGGAAUCUACCCUGUCGUGGGGGAUAACGUAGGGAAACUUACGCUAAUACCGCAUACGACCGAGAGGUGAAAGCGGCGGACCGCAAGGCGUCGCGCGACUGGAUGAGCCUAUGUCCGAUUAGCUAGUUGGCGGGUAAUGGCCCACCAAGGCGACGAUCGGUAGCUGGUCUGAGAGGAUGAUCAGCCACACUGGAACUGAGACACGGUCCAGACUCCGUACGGGAGCAGCAGUGGGGAAUAUGGACAAUGGGCGCAAGCCUG